GAUCAGAUACAGCCAGCCUGGGAGAAGUGGGGAGCAGAUCAGCACAGACAAAGCAUUGAAACCGUCUGUUUGGAAGAGUAGAAGAUACUGUUUGGGAGGUUUUACUAAAGUAGAGGAUCAUUCAUUUUGUAGACAAUUUUGAGAAUCCUGUGGUAAAAACUAUUAGGAAAUUACUUUUUAGCUAGUGGGCAAACUCGUUCUUGCAAUGAAUCUGACUCUUUAAUGAGAAAAUAUUCCAUUUGUUGCUGCUUCUUUUGCAAAAAUAUUUACAGGUUCUCUACUGUUCUUCUUAGCAUAUGCCUGUUACUCUUUUCCAUAUAAUUGCUAAAUUUCCUAACCAGGAUUUCAGCAUUUUCCUCAGAAGAUUGUAUUAGAGUCUAAUGGAUCAGAAAAUAUUUUCUAAUAUACAUCUAAAAUUAUCUUUUUCUCAAGGUAAGCUAUUACUUCUUUAGGCAGUUAUGGUCUGUUGUGAUUCUUGAAAUAAUUCCUUUCCUUCCUCUGUGCCUGUAUCCACCUACAAUAUGUAGGUCAUCACUUAGCAAAAUUAUAGGAUUAUAUUUUUUUAUUCACAUCUCAUAAAUCAGUUUCUUCCAUUACCUAACAGUAGUAUUUUGUCUUUUCUGAGCUAAUUUUGCAUAGUAGUAAUGUUGUCACAGUGCUGAAGAUAGACUGAAGUUCUAAUCGAGGCUGAAAAAAACCCUUGCCGCCUGUAAAUUCUGAUAUACAUUGGCAAUUUUCACCAUCCAUUUUCAAUCUGUG
rnacentral:lncRNA from 1 species